rnacentral:rRNA from 1 species
AGUGAACGCUGGCGGUAGGCCUAACACAUGCAAGUCGAACGGCAGCACAGUAAGAGCUUGCUCGUACGGGUGGCGAGUGGCGGACGGGCGAGGAAUACAUCGGAACCUACUUUUUCGUGGGGGUUAACGUAGGGAAAAUUACGCUAAUACCGCAUACGACCUACGGGAGAAAGCCGGGGCUCUUCGGACCUUGCGCGAUUGAAUGAGCCAAUGUCGGAUUGGCUAGUUGGCGGGGGAAAGGCCCACCAAGGGCGCGAUCCUUAGCGGGUCUGAGAGGAACGACAGCCACACUGGAACUGAGACAGGCUCCCGACUCCUACGGUAGGCAGCAGUGGGAACUAUUGGACAAUGGGGGCAAGCCUGAUCCUGCCAUACCGCGUGGGUGAAGAAGGCCUUCGGGUUGUAAAGCCCUUUUGUUGGGAAAGAAGAGCAGCAGGUUAAUACCCCGCUGUUCUGACGGUACCCAAAGAAUAAGCACCGGCUAACUUCGUG